rnacentral:lncRNA from 1 species
UCCUAUUUCAUAAUUGUUCUGCAAAAAUUAUUAUCCUUUGUCUUUACUAAUAUUAUUAUGGUUGGUGGAUGGUUCUUCGUAGUCAAUGGUACUCCGAUAAUAGGUGGCUUACGAAAUUCUUUGUGGCCAAUCCAUCAUAACAGUUCAGAUCUUAUUGUACCAUCUAUUGAACUCUAGAGUUCAUCUUGAUCUUCUUCCUAUUGAGUAUAUACAUGUUGUUGGGUCUGUGAAAUAAACACAUUGCUCUUCUUUCUUGUCUUUCAAACUCCUUGGUGUUUCUUAAAAAAUUAUCUCUAAUUCAUGUGAUCUGAUAGUAUGCAACUUAUACUCAAAAUCAUCUUCAUCAUCACUGAAUGACUUUGUCUCUUGUUCAUACUGGAAUGGUGCAAAUGUAAUCCCAAACCUGAUUAGAUUUAUUGGGGGAUAAAUUGUCUAGGAAUACUACAGUUAUAGUUAAAUAACAUCUGAGAUAUACUAUAUUUCGGGUCACAAUUUUGAAAUAAUAUUUUGCCACUUCUUGGACUGAUUUUGGUAAUGAAGACAAUUCUUGCAUAUCAUUUAAGGGACAAUUUGUUUGAAUUAGUCCAUAACCGAAUAUUGUUCUUACUAACUCGGGAGAUGCUCCUAGAUAAAUAAUUGCUUUGUUAAUUGCAUAGUGAGAGAUAUAUUUAAUAGCCGAAGACAUUUAAUUUCAUUUAAUUUUCUUAAGAAUAGUUUGAGAUAAUUGUAUUAUUCUCCGGUAUUAAAACUAGUAUGGGUUGGUCGUUGUCUAUGGCUUUUAGUUUGGGGUUGGGUAUUACUUGAACAAAUAUGAUGGAUCUACUAACAAGAACUAAAAAGCUAACAUGCCAAUUAUUAUCAGAAUAUCCAGAGUAUAGAUGUUUAAUAUAUGAAAAGAGAGAAAACAUAAUUGGCUAUUAUAACCAUCCGCCAACAUUAACAUUAUUGAUUAAAGAUAAGAAAAUAAUCAUUUAGAAGAACAAUUAUGAACCUGGACAAAAGAAUAUGAUUCAUAGUCUAAAAAGGCAAUUAAUAACCUCAAGGGAUAAGACUCCAUUAUCAACUCCAAUUAUAAAGGGGCAGUGUUGGACCAGACUGCGACCGGGGAGCCUCCAACCACCGGGGAGUUCCAUUGUUACAUGGGUAUGGGAAGAGUGAAGAGCCACAAAUGAGACACCACGUCUUGAACCAAAACCUUAAGGCAUUAGUUCCAUGGGCCUUUCCUUCUUAUAAACUCUUUCAUUCCUCCCCGCAUAUCCAAUGUGGGACUUCACACUUGAAUAAACCCAACAAUCUCCCCCUCAAGUGUGGGUACCACACACUUUCCGGUUCGCUCCCCCUUGAGUCUACCAUGUCUCAGCCGAACCAUCGGCUUUGAUACCACUUGUUGGACCAGACUGCGACCGGGGAGCCUCCAACCAGCAGG